rnacentral:rRNA from 1 species
UUAGGCCUGGCUGCAGUAGAGAGGGCCCGAAAAAGGCAGGCGUCCCGAAUAACUUGGCUCCGGGCUGGCGAUGCGCCGACUGCCUUCUUUCAGGCGAAGAUUAGCUCCAGAGCCCGGAAAAACUUCAUCCAUGCGCUGCACGGACCAGCUGGGGCAGUCACUGCACAGGAGGACAAGGAGAAACUGAUCCAUGAUCAUUUCCACUCCUUGUUGGGCUCGACGGCGCCGCGGAGUGCCACCAUCAACUGGACCGCACUACAACUACCACAAAUCCACGGUGGUGGCCUCGACAAUCCUUUCACAGAAGAAGUGUGGCUUGUGAUCAAGUCCUCCCCGGCUGAGCGAUCGCCGGGGCUGGACGGCUUCUCCGGCAGCUUCUUCAGAUCCUGUUGGGCGCUGAUCAAAAGCGACAUCAUGGCAGCCUUCUCUCAAUUCUACAAUCUUGCUGGCAGAAACUUCGCCAUGCUCAACACAGCCCUAGUAGCUCUCCUACCAAAAAAAGAUGGGGCAUCCACCAUUAGUGAUUAUAGGCCUAUUAGUCUGAUCCACUCCAUCGCCAAGCUUAUCUCCAAAGUGCUGUCGAUGAGGGUGGCCACGGUCAUACACACCCUCGUCUCCCCAGCUCAGUCGGCCUUCCUUCGCACCAAAUGCAUCCACGAUAGCUUCCUGUACGUCCAGAAUUGCGUCAAAGCUCUCCACCGAAAAAAGACCCUAAGCUAG